GUUCUGUCAUGUCUGGGUGAAAAGCUUCUAUCUCAUGAUGUGAGGAUGCAAAGCAGACAUCAACAAAUAAUUUUACAGUGUCACUGUCUGCUUUACCAAAGACGACAUUUGAGUUCUCUACAAGGCCUUUCAGAACAUCAACCCAUGUUCCAUCUAAAGAAUAGGUGAACAUCUUAUUUUUAAUAAAAUGUUCCUCUCCCUUGACUAGAGCAUAAGUGGAUGCUAUCCACUGCCUGUCUUUUUGACAUUUUUGGCAGACUUUUAUCGAAUCUAUGUUAUUCAAACGCUUGCUCUGAAGAAUACAGUGUACAACAAGC
rnacentral:lncRNA from 1 species